rnacentral:rRNA from 1 species
UUAUGAAUUAUUCUUCUCUGACUAUUGUUCUUGAGCCUAAUAAGGCAAUUUGUUAUACAAUGCCAUUUGACACAUCUUCAACGAUGGAUCUCUUGGCUCCCACCUCGAUGAAGAACGCAGCGAAAUGCGAUACGCAGUGCGAAUUGCAGAACCGCGAGUCAUCAGAUCUUCGAACGCAUCGGCGCCAAGAUAUCUUGGCAUGUUUAAUUCAGCGUGUCUAGUCAUCAUAAUAUAUGUGAUUGAGGAAUCUUUCACUAAGAAUGUAGAAUCGUUGAUAAUUCCGAAUGGUCACGAAAGUGAUGGAAUUAUCAAUAACGAUGUUAUAAAAAGC